UGCAGUCGAGCGGAGUUACUUUGAAAGCUUGCUUUCAAAGUAACUUAGCGGCGGACGGGUGAGUAACACGUAGGCAACCUGCCCCUUAGACUGGGAUAACUACCGGAAACGGUAGCUAAUACCGGAUAAUUUCUUUUUUCUCCUGAAGGAAGAAUGAAAGACGGAGCAAUCUGUCACUGAGGGAUGGGCCUGCGGCGCAUUAGCUAGUUGGUGGGGUAACGGCCCACCAAGGCGACGAUGCGUAGCCGACCUGAGAGGGUGAACGGCCACACUGGGACUGAGACACGGCCCAGACUCCUACGGGAGGCAGCAGUAGGGAAUCUUCCGCAAUGGACGAAAGUCUGACGGAGCAACGCCGCGUGAGUGAUGAAGGUUUUCGGAUCGUAAAGCUCUGUUGCCAGGGAAGAACGUCCGGUAGAGUAACUGCUACCGGAGUGACGGUACCUGAGAAGAAAGCCCCGGCUAACUACGUGCCAGCAGCCGC
rnacentral:rRNA from 1 species